UGAUGUGCCAGUCGAUCGAUCGAUGCUUUUUUAAUCACCUUAUUUUACCAUUUUAUCCGUGCGUGAGCUUUUCUCGGGAACUAUAAAAGUUGAGUUGCAGAUUCUAGUGAUUAGAAAUGAAGAAAAAAUUAAAAUAGAAUUAAUACCUUGUAAUUUUUAUGAUAAAACGCAUAAUGAUUACGGUCUCUUUUUAAAAGUGAAAUGCUUGGACCAACAAAGACGACUAAUUUGAAAAAAAACUUGUCCCUGUCAUAUGCAAACACGAUUCUGCACGGACAACUGCCACUGUCACUCUGAGCCCUUUUCCGAUCCUCAUCUCUCAUCUCCCCGGCCACCCUUCCAUCAGUAUUUGUGUGGGCUAAGAGCCCCACGUUGAUGCAAUUUUCGUCUUCCUGCCAAAUAUCCAAAAAUAUCAAGCCAAGACCAAUUAUGAGUAGAACAAUUAAUCUCUAAUUAUGCCUGAAUAUCUGUCAGGCGAAUUAUUAGUGAGAAUGAAAUGAAAAUCAACGCGAGGAAUCACCGGAUUAGCAUGGAGGAAAAGAGGGGAGAUCGUGCUAACGACCUCACAGAUCAUAUCUUGGGUGCCAACCUCUCUUCGGAACCCCCUGCUUUUGGGGAUGCGAUACUGUGAGGCCUCGGGCCUCUUGUGCCACGGAUUUGCCUGAUGAUCGGAUUAUGACAGCCAACGACACAGCACAGGCAAGAGUUUUCUUUUGGCUGACGAUGCCAACAGAUGCAACGGAUGCCGCUUCUUGAUCGCCACUUGUAAUUCGGAUUAUGAGAAAAUUCAUUAGAUAAUUUCAGUCCGUGUCGCAUUUUGAUGGAGAGCUUGUGAGGCGCACUACCGCACACUCUCCCAUCGCACUUAUCUCCGGCUAAGUAUGCCAAUUAGUUAAUAUUAGCAGCUAUUAAAAUCGGCUAGGAGCUCGUUGCCUCGUCUGACUAAUCUCAGGAAGUCGCCUGACGUAAGCCGCCCAUAUAGGAUAAUGGAAUCGGCUUCAAUCGCUGUGUCUGUAUUAUAAGCUCAUUAAGUGCGCAACACUGUUAUCGGUACUUCCGUUUCUGCGCCGUUGAGGGGUAAUUCAGGAUAAAGCUGGAAAGAUUUUUAUACCCAUUACUCGUAGAGUAGAAGGGUUUACUAGAUUUGUUAAAAAGUAUGUUACAGGCAGAAGGAAGGAUCCAAGAAAAAUAUCGAUAUGGAUUAAAAAUGAAUUGUUGUUGGAUUAAGCGACAGCCAAAAUCCAUACUUUGUUCCAAUCCCGUUCGGUUUUUUUUUAAUAAAGAAAGCCAACAGAACAGUUUCGCUUAAAUCCCUAGACUGAAAUCGUAAAAAUAAAUUUUUAAUACCUGGCAAGGUUGGACCGAGGCGAUAGAAGGUUGGAGGAGACAGAAAUUUUGCUUGAACCGGCCAACCAUCAUUUCAAAAUAACGUAUCGUAAAUUUUCAAGUUAACAUCAAAAUUGUGAAAAUUAUGUACAAUUCCCAGGAACAGAAACGAGUGCAGACCGAAAACAUUCAUAACCAAAUUUAUUGCAAAUAAGAAAAAUGUCCGCCAUCCGAUAGACGGUCGGAGACGAAAUGAGAGUGAGAUGGGAAAACUGGGAAAACCAACAGAUAGACAAAAAUGCGAGUUGAGUGGAAAACUUCAGAGCCAGGAGGACAUGGCAGGCGAGCUGUGAACGUAGUAAAAGUGGCUACAUUACAACAGCAAAAACAAUGGCUUUUGUGCUCUGUAGUGUUCCCACUGGGUCCCAUCCUCUGUGGUCAGUAGAAAAUGUGGAAAAAUAGAUGAAAAGCAAGGCAUAAAAAACAUAAAUUCACUCAAAAAAAGAGACAGGAAAAAAACAUAAGCAAAAAAUGAGGAAAGACAAACAUGCGCCGCAAGGAUCGAAGGGGGUGUAAUUUGGCGAGACUGGGAUUCGGCAUUUAAGGACACCGGCUGCCUUCCAUCGAAGCAAACAGCAGGCCAAGCAAUUGACAUGCCCCGACCAUCCGAAGAGCUAAAGAGACAAAACAUCCACUCCAGAGUAACUGGGUUGACCGACCCGAACGCGAAAGUGUUGGAAUGCUUCAGAGUGAAACAUUUCAGCUAGCGGUAGCUUGCUGGAAUUGGCAAAAGAAAUCGGUCGGGACACAAGAAUAUUUGUUGUCACUGGAAAUUAAGUUUAAAUGCACACUGCCAUUUAAGGAAGCCCUGGUUCUUGGAGCGCAAGUUGUGAAUUGCACAAAGAUUUCGCUCAUACUCAGAUUAUUAUAAUUGAAAUGAUUUUUGACACUUAGUAUAUGCUCAAGUUUUUAUUGA